rnacentral:rRNA from 1 species
UACGUAGGUGGCAAGCGUUUGUCCGGAUUUAUUGGGUUUAAAGGGUGCGUAGGCGGCCUAUUAAGUCAGUGGUGAAAUAUCUCAGCUCAACUGAGAGUGUGCCAAUGAUACUGAUGGGCUUGAGUACAGAUGAGGUAGGCGGAAUUGACGGUGUAGCGGUGAAAUGCUUAGAUAUCGUCAAGAACACCUAUAGCGAAGGCAGCUUACUAGGCUGUAACUGACGCUGAGGCACGAAAAGUGUGGGGGAUCAAAACAGG